CCUACGGGAGGCAGCAGCAGGGAAUCGUUGGCAAUGGACGAAAGUCUGACCACGCGACGCCGCGUGAAGGAAGAAGGCCUUCGGGUUGUAAACUUCUUUUACCAGGGACGAUGAUGACGGUACCUGGGAAUAAGCCCU
rnacentral:rRNA from 1 species